AAAUGCCUACAACUUAUCAUUAAUGCAUUGGAUCCCAUUAGAACUCCGCAGUUAAGUGCGCUCGAGCUAGAGUAGUAUUGGGAUGGGUUACCUCCUAGGAAGUCCUAGUAUUUUACAUGUC
rfam:Picea glauca, whole genome shotgun sequence.